ACUUAAAUUGAAGAGUUUGAUCAUGGCUCAGAUUGAACGCUGGCGGCAGGCCUAACACAUGCAAGUCGAGCGGUAGCACAGAGAGCUUGCUCUCGGGUGACGAGCGGCGGACGGGUGAGUAAUGUCUGGGAAACUGCCUGAUGGAGGGGGAUAACUACUGGAAACGGUAGCUAAUACCGCAUAACGUCGCAAGACCAAAGUGGGGGACCUUCGGGCCUCAUGCCAUCAGAUGUGCCCAGAUGGGAUUAGCUAGUAGGUGGGGUAAUGGCUCACCUAGGCGACGAUCCCUAGCUGGUCUGAGAGGAUGACCAGCCACACUGGAACUGAGACACGGUCCAGACUCCUACGGGAGGCAGCAGUGGGGAAUAUUGCACAAUGGGCGCAAGCCUGAUGCAGCCAUGCCGCGUGUAUGAAGAAGGCCUUCGGGUUGUAAAGUACUUUCAGCGAGGAGGAAGGCGGUGAGGUUAAUAACCUCAUCGAUUGACGUUACUCGCAGAAGAAGCACCGGCUAACUCCGUGCCAGCAGCCGCGGUAAUACGGAGGGUGCAAGCGUUAAUCGGAAUUACUGGGCGUAAAGCGCACGCAGGCGGUCUGUUAAGUCAGAUGUGAAAUCCCCGGGCUCAACCUGGGAACUGCAUUUGAAACUGGCAGGCUUGAGUCUUGUAGAGGGGGGUAGAAUUCCAGGUGUAGCGGUGAAAUGCGUAGAGAUCUGGAGGAAUACCGGUGGCGAAGGCGGCCCCCUGGACAAAGACUGACGCUCAGGUGCGAAAGCGUGGGGAGCAAACAGGAUUAGAUACCCUGGUAGUCCACGCUGUAAACGAUGUCGACUUGGAGGUUGUUCCCUUGAGGAGUGGCUUCCGGAGCUAACGCGUUAAGUCGACCGCCUGGGGAGUACGGCCGCAAGGUUAAAACUCAAAUGAAUUGACGGGGGCCCGCACAAGCGGUGGAGCAUGUGGUUUAAUUCGAUGCAACGCGAAGAACCUUACCUACUCUUGACAUCCAGAGAACUUAGCAGAGAUGCUUUGGUGCCUUCGGGAACUCUGAGACAGGUGCUGCAUGGCUGUCGUCAGCUCGUGUUGUGAAAUGUUGGGUUAAGUCCCGCAACGAGCGCAACCCUUAUCCUUUGUUGCCAGCGGUCCGGCCGGGAACUCAAAGGAGACUGCCAGUGAUAAACUGGAGGAAGGUGGGGAUGACGUCAAGUCAUCAUGGCCCUUACGAGUAGGGCUACACACGUGCUACAAUGGCAUAUACAAAGAGAAGCGACCUCGCGAGAGCAAGCGGACCUCAUAAAGUAUGUCGUAGUCCGGAUUGGAGUCUGCAACUCGACUCCAUGAAGUCGGAAUCGCUAGUAAUCGUAGAUCAGAAUGCUACGGUGAAUACGUUCCCGGGCCUUGUACACACCGCCCGUCACACCAUGGGAGUGGGUUGCAAAAGAAGUAGGUAGCUUAACCUUCGGGAGGGCGCUUACCACUUUGUGAUUCAUGACUGGGGUGAAGUCGUAACAAGGUAACCGUAGGGGAACCUGCGGUUGGAUCACCUCCUUACCUGAAAGAA
rnacentral:rRNA from 1 species